GUCCUCGAAUCUAAAAAAUCAAAUGAACUCGACUUUCCUCGAUCGAACGGGACUAAUGGCAAUUGAGUCCACUGAAAAGAAUAGCCAUGAAAUAGUAAAUAGCAACGCAAACAAGCUUGUAGUCCAAUUAUAAGCAUAAUAGAACAGGUAUAACGCAUGUGAAUAGACAGAUUCAAAUUACCAUGCCUUAAUCGACGGUCUAUAGAUUCACUCACACAUGCAUUAUCAAAAACAAGAAUCUUUUUAUCAACCAUCAAAAUAGAUUUAUCAUCAAUAAAUAAAAUAGGACAGUCAAGCACGUUUCGAUCUAAGUGUUCAUCAACAUGAUCUUUGUCGCUAUCCGAGGAGUACAAAAGUGUUUCAAAGGUUUCAAGCAUCUUACCUUGAUAAGCAAAAGAAUAAGGGUCGAUUUUACCUUUUUCAUUUAAAACAAACCUUCGUUCAUCAGGGGCAUAGUGUAGUCGAAUCUCCGUUGUUGAGUUAACCUUUGUCAAAUGGAACUCAAACUUCAUGUACAACCACAUAAACUGUUUAAGGCACGAAUAUAAAUUGAAAACAAAUUUGGAAAAUUUCGUUACCUUAUUCUCCAAAAUAGAUUUGGACAAAUUCGAGGAUUUUACACAAGGUAAAUCAAGAGAAUAACAAAUCACGCUUCUUUUCGUAAUGACUUUAUCAACCACAAUCGAAGAGUAACAAUUAAUCGGAUCAAAAUGAGGGGAUCUUUUAAGAACUAAGUCACCAAAAUUUUUAUCAAUAAUUUUCAAAUCUGCACUGGACUCGGUUUCUAAAAUUUCCUUACCUCGCUUACCUUCGGGAUCAUGUAGUGUGAUUUCAUCUUUGCCUAAGUUGAUCAUAUGAAAGCGUCUUUCAUUUGAGAGGUAUUGAAGUUGAAAGUUAUCUUUCGAUCUUUCGGGAACCUGAAAAGUAGCAACACAAGAAAAAUUCAUAUCUUGGUUAGUGGAAACAUUCCUCACUACCCUUUCCACGUCUUUUUCUCUUGUUUCUUUUUCUAAUUCAUUUUCUCUUCUUUCUUCAAUUUCUUUUUCACUCUCAAUCUCUUUUUGCUCUUUUUCAUUCUCUUUUUCUUUUUCCUCACUUGUUUUAAUAGAAUUUUUCAGUUUGAUUUGGUCCUCAUGGACUUGUUCCGGAGUGAGCGGCACUAAGGUGAGUUUCUUUCCUUGAUGCUUGAAAGAAUACCUAUUGGUACGACCAUCGUGAGUGACUUUUCAAUCCAGUUGCCAUGGUUCUCCUAGCAACAAAUGGCAGGCUUGAAUAGGCAUUACGUCGCACACAACUUCGUCUUGAUACUUACCGAUAGAAAAGGCGAUGCGCACUUGUUGAGUGACCCUAAAUUGGCCUUCGUUGCUAAGCCCUUGUAGUUGAUAAGGUUGUGGAUGCUUGGUAGUGGUUAAGCAAAGCUUUUCCACCAUCGUCGUGCUGGCUAUGUUCGAGCAACUUUCACCAUCAAUAAUAACUCUACAAAGCUUACCUUGUACAUUGCAGCGAGUAUGAAAGAGAUGUUCUCGUUGCUGCUCGCUCUUUGGUUUUGCCAAAGAUGAUUGUCCACAAUCAUGAAAAUCAUCAUCCAUUCUAGGGACACGUUGAGGGCCGCGCCUCUUGGGUUGGUUAUCCCUAUCUUCUUUGAUUGGAUCUCGAUAUUAAGGUUCUUGAUUCAAUCGCACCUCAUUGAUGGUAGCAGUCAAAGCUCGAAGAGCAGCAGCCUGUUCAUCCAACUGUUGUUGGAAUUUUUUAAAUAUGUCACCAUUAUUAUCACCUGUAGACAUUUUUUUAAAACCUGCAAAACACUCAACACUCAAAAAUAAAAGUUAUCAAACCUCACAGUUAAUCACUCAAAAAGAAAAUUCAAAUUCUCAAUGCUUAUAUAGGCCUCCAACAAAUCCUAAUCUCACAAGUAACUAAUAAAAAAUUAAACCUAAUUAAUAAAAUAACAAGGUAAAUUCGGCCAUGCACUUAUAUGGGCUGUUUUGGGCCGAAUUUUACAUGUAAUGCUCCUAAAGAUUAAAAAAUUAAAUUAAACAAGUAAGAUGUUUACAAAUUAGGCCCUUUGACAUUUUGGCCUGAUUUUCAACUAAGUAUGAAGAAAUUUCUUGAUUGGGCUGGAUUUUGGUUAUUGGGCCUCGCCUUCAAGAAUUUGGGCUCGUGAUCCAUCUCCUACCAAAAUUGGGUCGUUGACGCUCGUAAUGGAGAUCCAAUGCGUUUUGGCUGCAAGAUUUGGUUUCUUGGACAUGGAUUUCCAAGAUUUGAAAUCUUGAUUGAUACGGGGUUGCGCGCGGACCAAGAUCGAGUUGCCAAGUCACAAGAAACUCCUACGAAAACCCUAAACAAUUAGAUCUGAAACGAAAACAGAAAAUUAAAAGAUUAGAUUUUUGAAUUUUCAGAUCUGAAAUAAAAUCCCCAAAACAGUAAAGAAUCAAAUAGAGAAUAGAAAUAAGUGUUAGGGUUCUUGAAACCCUCAAGGAGAUUGUGAUUCUGCCCAAUUGAACACCAAGAUAGUUUUCCCCAAAUUUCGACAAUCUAAUUUCACCCAAAAAGAGUAUAGAAAAACCCUAGAAAUUGGGGAUUUUUGGGCUGAUUCCUUAAGAUAGAAAAAGGCUGAAAACACAAUAAGAACAGAAAAUAGAUUAGAUAAUGAUUCAGCACAAGUAGAAAUAAAGAAAGAAUUGACAGUAAGAAAUUAAAAGAUAAGUCCUAAGAAGCCUUGAAAUCUCGAAAGAUCUCACAACUCCCUUCAAACGGCUCUAAUCUCCCCUCCAAAGAAUAUCAAUGGCAAGAAGAAGGUUGAAGAUGGCUCCCACAAUCAAAAGAUUGUUAAAACAACUUCUAAAGAAAACUCAAGAGAGAAAUCUUGGAGAAAACUCAAAGAAAAUUCUGCUCUCAACAAAUCUGAAAUUUUAAUAAUAAUGAUAAGUGUUUAACAAGGUGGACAGCCAUGCCUUUAAAUAGGCCUUAUAACUAGUCCUAAUCUAAUUAGAAAACUAAAAUAAUAAAAAAACUCCUAAUUAUUUUAAUAUGGAAAUUCGGUCAAAGGUCAUUUUAUCUGGGACUCUUGGACUGAAUAUUGACAUAAAAAUUUAAACUAAGUAAAUAAAUAAAUAAAUAAAUAAAAAUAAAAAUAAAACUUUACAACUUGGGCCACUUUGACAAUUUGGCCUGAUUUUCAACUAAGUAUGGAUGGAUUUCUUGAUUGGGCUGGGAAUUUGCUUAUUGGGCCUCGCCUUCAAGAAUUUGGGCUUUUGUGACUCGUAUCAUUCCCCCUUCCUCAAAAAGAUUCGUCCUCGAAUCUGAAAAAUCAAAUGAACUCGACUUUCCUCUAUCGAACGGGACUAAUGGCAAUUGAGUCCACUGAAAAGAAUAGCCAUGAGAUAGUAAAUAGCAACGGAAGCAAGCUUGUAGUCCAAUCAUAAGCAUAACAGAACAGGUAUAACGCAUGUGAAUGGACAGAUUCAGAUUACCAUGCAAACAAUCUAAUUUACUCACCACUGCCUCGUCAAAUAUUUGAAACAAAGAUGGACAUGUUUUAAGGCAUUCAAUCGUCUCACAUUGUUCCCACAAACCAUGAAUAAAUUGCGAGUAAUAAAUCAAAUGGUAAACAUAAUCGUCACAAGUAGGUAUUUGAAAAGAUUCACAUGGUUCACAGAGUUGCAUAAUCAUACCAUGCAUUAAUCGACGGUCUAUAGAUUCACUCACACAUGCAUUAUCAAA
rnacentral:lncRNA from 1 species